UACGUAGGUGGCAAGCGUUGUCCGGAAUCACUGGGCGUAAAGCGCGCGCAGGCGGCGAUCUACGUCUGGGGUGAAAGCCCGGAGCUCAACUCCGGGACUGCCUUGGAUACGGGAUCGCUUGAGGAUUGGAGAGGCAAGGGGAAUUCCACGUGUAGCGGUGAAAUGCGUAGAUAUGUGGAGGAACACCUGUGGCGAAGGCGCCUUGCUGGCCAACAACUGACGCUGAGGAGCGAAAGCGUGGGGAGCGAACAGG
rnacentral:rRNA from 1 species